UUACUUUGACUCAACACGCCGAAAGCUCAGCAGGUCCGGACCUGGUAACGAUUGACAGACUUGAGACCUCUGUCAUGAUUCUAUGCAUGCUGAUGCAUCGCCACUUCUUACUUGGUGGAGUGAUUCGUGUGGCUAAUUCCGUUAACGAACGAGACCUUAACCUGCUAAAUAGGUGCGCAAGCGCAAGCUUGUAGUGCGUUCUUAGAGGGACAAACCACGGUUAGUGGUUGGAAGUUUGAGGCAAUAACAGGUCUGUGAUGCCCUUAGAUGUUCUGGGCCGCACGCGCGCUACACUGACACAGUCAGCGAGUACUGCCUUGACCGAGAGGUCUGGGAAAUCUUGUGAAACUGUGUCGUGCUGGGGAUAGACCAUUGCAAUUAUUGGUCUUCAACGAGGAAUUCCUAAUAAGCGCAAGUCAUCAGCUUGCGUUGAUUACGUCCCUGCCCUUUGUACACACCGCCCGUCGUUACUACCGAUUGAAUGGCUUAGUGAGGCCUCCGGAUUGUGCUUGCCUUGAGCGAGUGUGAGAAGCUGGUCAAACUUGGUCAUUUAGAGGAAGUACAAGUCGUAACAAGGUUUCCGUAGGUGAACCUGCAG
rnacentral:rRNA from 1 species